CAGCCCUGAGGACCCUGUCUCAUGCAUAGAACCUGGACUGGCUAUCUAUUUCUCAUAUGUGUAUCAACCUGGAUAGCACCUUGACAACACCUUCCCCCUUGAGAGUGGCCUCUGACACCUCUCUUCCUUAUUUCAGGAACUUAAAGGCUACCUAAUCUUCUGGGGAUGAAUCUCAAGGGAGGAAACACUAUGAAGUAGUUGAAGACACAUCUGUGUAUACUGAAGUCUUAUUAGGAAACUAUUCACUCUCUCUUUUCUUAGUUAAACACAUUAUUGUGAAAGGAGUAAUAACAUGAAUCCUACAGAUUUAGUAAGCAAAUCUGUUCAACAAGUCAUGCUUUUGAUUAUGUCACCAAAGACAUACCCUGUCUUUGUUUAAAGGUAUAUGUUAUCAGGAAGUGUUAAACCCUAUAAGAUAUUGCUUUAGAUUUUAGAUAAAAUCUUGUCAAAUCUGAA